GUUGCCAGUAGCUGACCUUGAUUAUACCAUAAUUACAGCUGAGAUCUCAUCUCGAUUCAGAGCAGGGUUUGCUUUUCUCCAGAUUAGAAGUGGCUAUUUUCUCACAUGAGGGCAUAUCACCCCCACCUCUCAAGAACCAAAAGAAGAUAGUGGUUGAGCUACAGUUUUGGCAACUUAUAUGCAUUGCAUUCUCUUCAGUGGAGAUAUUUGUGGGAGACUCAAGGCUGGCUGCUGAAAUUUGAUUAUCAUGAAUGUCUGAAGAAGCAUUGAAACAGUUUAAUAAUCCAGAAUAACUGUCAUCUUUGUAUCAUUGUGUCAUUUUCCAUUGCCUGUCAUCAUUGUACUGUAUAAUUUCUCAAGUUACCAUAUUCGCUGUGGCAGCAUUUUGCAUUGUUACAUAUUGUUGUUUCAGGUCCCAUGUUUUGGGCCUCUCAAUAUAUUUAUUCA